rnacentral:rRNA from 1 species
UACGGGGGGGGCAAGCGUUGUUCGGAAUUACUGGGCGUAAAGGGCUCGUAGGCGGCCAACUAAGUCGGAUGUGAAAUCCCCAGGCUCAACCUGGGAACUGCAUCCGAUACUGGAUGGCUUGAAUUCGGGAGAGGGAUGCAGAAUUCCAGGUGUAGCGGUGAAAUGCGUAGAUAUCUGGAGGAACACCGGUGGCGAAGGCGGCGUCCUGGACCAACACUGACACUGAUGAGCGAAAGCCAGGGGAGCAAACGGG